rnacentral:rRNA from 1 species
CAGGAAAUCGAUAAUUCGAGUGGCGGACGGGUGAGUAACGCGUCGAGCAACCUGUCCCAGACAGGGGGAUAACACUUGGAAACAGGUGCUAAUACCGCAUAAGACCACGGGAUCACGAUGGGUUCUGGGGGUAAAAAGGAGCAAUCCGGGUUUGGGGUGGGCUCGCGUCCGAUUAGCCAGUUGGCGGGGUAACGGCCCCACCAAAGCGACGAUCGGUAGCCGACCUGAGAGGGUGAACGGCCACAUUGGAACUGAGAGACGGUCCAAACUCCUACGGGAGGCAGCAGUGGGGAAUAUUGGGCAAUGGGCGAAAGCCUUGACCCAGCAACGCCGCGUGAGUGAAGAAGGCCUUCGGGUUGUAAAGCUCUGUUAUAGUUGACGAAGGAAGUGACGGUAGGCUAUAAGGAAGCCCCGGCUAACUACGUGCCAGCCGCUGC